rnacentral:rRNA from 1 species
UACGGAGGGUGCGAGCGUUGUCCGGAAUCACUGGGCGUAAAGGGCGCGUAGGCGGCCGUGUAAGUCACUUGUGAAAUCCCGAGGCUCAACCUCGGGUCUGCAGUCGAUACGGGCGGACUGGAGUUCGGCAGGGGAGACUGGAAUUCCUGGUGUAGCGGUGAAAUGCGCAGAUAUCAGGAGGAACACCAGUGGCGAAGGCGCCGCUCUGGGCCGAGACUGACGCUGAGGAGCGAAAGCGUGGGUAGCAAACAGG